rnacentral:tRNA from 1 species
UCCCUGGUGGUCCAGCGGUUAAGAAGCUGCUUUGCACUGCAGGGGACACAGGUUCAAUCCCUGAUCAGGGAA